AGGUCACAUGAAUAAGUUUCUCUUUUCACAAAUACACAGAUUAUAUACAUUUUAUUAUAUACAUAUUUUAUAUGUGAUUUGCGGCUGUGGCUGCAGGGGGGUAGAGAGGUGGACCUCUAACCAGUAGGUCGGUGGUUCUAUCUGCAUGCCAAACUGUCCUUGGGCAAGAUACUGAACCACAAAUUUCCCCUGCACAUAGAUGCACUGUAUGAAAUGGUUUUGUGAAUGUCAAA
rnacentral:misc_RNA from 1 species